AGCUCUGUGCAGUGGCAGUAUCGUAGCCAGUGAGGUUUGUCCAAGGGGCCAUCAUUGCUAAUUGAAAAUGAAC
rnacentral:snRNA from 1 species